rnacentral:misc_RNA from 1 species
CGUGGCCAUUAUAGAAACAAAAAAAUACCAUUUUCUAACCAAAGACAACUUUUUUUUUUAAUAUAAAUUAUGUCUAAUUAAUAUAAUUUUUUUUCAUUUAUGAGUGUUUUAUUUUAUUUUUUUUAUUAUGGGAAUAAAUGAUACAGAAAUAGUAUUGCAAUACAAGUCAUGUCAGUGUAAAUUUUAAUUUUUGUAAGAAUAUAAAGAAGGUAUCUUAAAAUAUAUAAAUAUUAACAAUAUAUUUCAUUCAAUGAUGAAUACUUAAAGCAUCGCUUUGAACUUCAUGACUCAAUUGUGUCUCAUCAUCUUCUCUGUGCCUGGAUGUAACAGGAAGUACCCUUGGAUCACUGGAUUUAAAAUCUGCAGUGGUUACAUGCCGCGUUUGAUCUUCUGUACACUUUACAUCAAGUGUGAAUUCCACGCUACACUCUGGACAGAAAUCCAUGCAUUGGCAGUCCCUUGUAUAUUGUAUCCUAUCAACAACCUAAAUAAUUUUAAUAUCAACUUUCCGUUUUCGUUAAAAAAUCUUAAAUAUAUUGAAGUAUUGAUUUUUAAUUAUUUACAUCAUCACUUAUCAAUGGUAUCAUUCCGAUCCUAUGUGCUAAAAAUUCAUCGCUCAACACGGUUGAAUUGGCUUCUAAUUGCACCCAAUCAAUGGCCAUAGUAGGUGUCUCGGCAAUAAAGACGCGUCUCAUACUAUUUGCUACACUAUAAAAAUUAAAAGUUUAAUAAA